rnacentral:lncRNA from 1 species
AUUUUUGCAACUUUGAAAAUUGGAACUAAACUUCAAAAGAAGACUUUGUUUCCGUGUAGAUUAUAUUUUAAAACCAGCUUGGAUUUUUUUUCCUCCUUAGGCAUAGCAGUUAACUUCAAGAUCAGAUCAUGAAAGGUCAUCUUGUGCUGAAACCUCUGUACAGGACAAGCACUGAGCUGGCAUUUUUGUAAUGGCUGAUGUAUUUUUCAGUCAUCUUCUGCCAGGCAUGAGUUAAAACUCUUCUUCCAGACAACCUUCCAACUAGGGAAUAGAUCCUUUUGGAAGGCCAAGUGGCCUCAGAGAGCACUUUGGAGUGGGACACAGUGAAUUGGGACAAGUGCAUCACGCCCUGUUACAGUCAACGCAGCAGCUAAGAACACUAGUUUUCCAUCAGAAAGAGAAGAUAUUCAUAUGUUCAGAACUGUGAAGGCCUAAGUCUAGAGAUGUGAAUGUACAUUCGAUGCUUGGAUAGCAGGAAACGGAAGACUUACUUAUUGCCUCCUUUGACGGAGAGAUUUCUAUGCCCCAUAAAUCAGGAAGGAGAGUUUCAAGGGCUAGCUCCCAUCGCUAGG